GGGUGCUUUUCUCAGACUCGGGCUGGUGGAGCGCGUCUGGCUAGUCUCGGAGCUCCCGACUUGGAGCUCCCGGUCAGCACGACGCGUCCCCAGCAGCAGACCGGACGGCUGGCUGCUGCGAAGGGUACAGACUCUCCCCACGCGACUCCCGGUGUGGCGCCGGCCUCCAGAGAGGACGUGGAAAAUGUAACCGCGAGCCUGCGGGCCGGGCGCCAUGCCUGGGCGGGCUCUCCAGAGCCGCGCAAGCGGACUUAGAAAAUACUGUGCCCUCAGGUGUGGGCUGAAAAACUGCAACCAUGAAAGUGCUUCCCUUGUAGGUGAAAUGGCCACCAGACCGAGGCUUUCUGGAAUGCAUUCAUUCUCUGCAGUUGAAAGGGAUGAUCCUGGAUCUGAAAGAAAGAGCCACAGUGACUCCAAGAGUGGAGCCAGGGCAUGCUGGACACUGCACAGCUAUGGCCAUGUGUGUCACCACCGAGGGAGAUGUGAGAGAAACGCAGAGGGAUUGCUUGUGACUGUGCCUUCUCGAUGUACGAUGGACCAUUCUGCUCAAAUAGCCUUCAAGGGAUGAUGUGAGGUCCACCUACAAGGCAGAGAGCAAUCUGCUUCACUCAGUCAUACCUGGGAGGCUUCACGACUUCUGAGGAGGAUGUUAAACUUCCUUCAGACAUGGAAUUAAAUUUUGAUUCGAUUUUAUCCAACUGUCUUGGGAAAAGGGGAAUGCUUCACCCAAUGGUGGUUUAAAUUAUUUUGUGAUAAUCAUUAUAAAAAUGUGUCUAUCUGUGGACAAAAAGAAACAAAGAAUGAGCCAAAUACAUAAUUGGAAAUUCACAAAAAUGUUAGCUUUAUAUAGACAUAAUCUGAUAAGCUUAGAAAUUUUUAAAAAAUGCCUUUCAAAUAAGCUCAGUGUUUACAAUAGUCUUGUUGUUUCUUUUACUUAUCAAAGGCUCUGUCUUCUGAGGAUAUUCAAACCUUGAGUUUCAUGGGCCCUGCCUGUGAGAAAAUGUGCAUUUUCCACAUAAAAUCCAUUGCCUUGUCAGAUAAUUUACAACUCGCCAUGUUUAAGCAGACUCUUUAUUUAAAUCUAGAAGAUUUAUCACACAGCAAGUUCAACCUCAGGAAUUCCAUAUAAGUCCACAAGAACACGUGUCUAAAAACUGUUGAGAAAGUAAAUUCAAUGAUGAAAACUGUAAUUUAUAUCAAGGAUGAGAAAUACACUCUUUGUAGGGUCUAUUGUCGAUGACUAAUAUAUGAAGAAUUAAAGCAGUUGAUCAUCUAAAUAGUGCUACGCAUGGAUCUGUUUCCAUUGGCAUGUGGACAAGAACAUGUGUCAGUAAAAAAAGAGUUUUGAAAUAAAUCUCAUGUAUUAUGAUUGUUUAAUUUUCUCUAAUAAAAUGUAAACAUGUAUUAAUUCUUGGAAAAUAAUUUUGAAUAGAGGUAUUGAGGAAAGAAAGACCCUCUCAUAUUGUUUUAUAUUGUUUUAUACUCAGUACCUGUUUAAAGAAAAAAACAAGGAAGUAAAACCAAAGACAGGCAGCCUGGCACCAGUCCCAAAACCAGGCCUGGGCCGGCCUGGCCUAAACCCAGUAGUUAAAAAUCACCUUCUAACUUAGAAACCGAUGUUAUUCAUAGAUUCCUGACAUUGUAUAGAAGAGCACUGUGAAACUCCCGGCCCUGUUCUGUUUCUCUCUGACCACGGGUGCCUGCAGCCCCUGUCACGUACCCCCUGCUUGCUCAAAUCAAUCACGACGCUUUCCUGUGAAAUCUUUAGUGUUGUGAGCCCUUAAAAAGGACAGAAAUUGUGCACUCAGGGAGCUGGGCUUUUAAGGCAGUAGCUUGCUGAUGCUCCCAGCUGAAUAAAGCCCUU
ensembl:lncRNA